UGUCUCGUCGUUUUUCAUGUUAUGGCUGAUUGUCAAAAUGUUUCUUAAUUUUUAUACGAAAUCUACCGACUAAUUCAUCGGUAAAUUCAAGUUUAUUUUUGUGCAACUUGUUUGUGAUGUGAUUUAUUCCGUAUCUGUGUUGGAUCAUCUUUCAAAUUCCUCAAACUUACAUGUAGCAAGGAACGGGAAAGGAAACAGUAACAUACAAGUAGCCUACCAUCGCUACCACCAACCCUCUUUUAUUAAAAAUCGUCGUUCUGCUGAAUGCAUUAUCCAGUUCAUACAGGGAAAGCUACGAAAAAUAUAUCAUCUAGGCCAAGGGCAAUCUUCAGGUUUAUUGCAGCAGCUUAAGAGAAGAAUGUGAACAAAUGCAGGGCACAUAUCAACAAGUGUUGUAUUUUUCUGAAUGUUAAACACGAGCAGUAGAUUCAACAUGACUAACUGUUUGAUGCCAAAGUUAGUUGCCUAGUUGGAACUCAACUCACUGUACGUUCUGUAACACAGAUAACUGGUGCUGUUGCCUUACAGCCACAGGCAGGAAAAUGAUUCUUUUCUUCAGAAAAUUGGAAAGCUGCUGGAGUAAUCUGGUGUUCAUGCACAUUUGAUUCAUUUCGUGCCAGCUAGUGAAAGCCGAAAGACAUGUCGAAUUCAAGCUGAGCUGCUGCUUUCUGUCUGGAAGCAAGCAAUCCAGCCGUUGCGUUGAGUCAUUUGAACAGGUAUCUAAUGGCUGUCAAUAGGUGGCUGUCGAAAGCUGGCUGGAAUGUCCACCAGGUAGCGCGAGUGUCUUCAGGGACGCAUUUCGGCCAUUUUGUUCCAAGACACAGCAGAAAUGGGUUGCUGGUUGUGACGUUUCUCGCGAUGAAAAUUAAAAGGUUAUUUAUCACGUAGAAACCAAUUUGCCAAAUCAUUCAUCUCACACUUGGAAUUGCCUGUUCAUUGCCGAAAUGGCGUGCCUCGUGUGUCUCGCUGCCUGUUCUUAGGAGUUAGGGCGUACUUCUCAUCACAUGCAACAGUAAAAAGUAUUACAAACGCUUCUUUAAAGCUGUUGGGGUUACCUUGUUGCAGCCAAAUGGUGAAAGGUGUGACGAAGACAGAUUGAACCGUUGUAUGCAGCAUGAGGUUGCAGUGUGAUCCAGUAGUAGCUGUGUUGGACCUGAAAUUGCUAUGCUGUUGUAGCCGAGCUGUUCCAUCUGGGUUCCUGACUUCAAAUUUUUAAGUUGUCGUUUGUGUUUUAAUCCAUGCCAUAUGAAAUUGCUCCGCCAGUGAUAUUUGUGUUCUGACUUGAAAGUGUUUGAUCUGUCGUCUUUUGAGUUUUCAUUCAA
rnacentral:misc_RNA from 1 species